AUAUCAGGAAGAGUGAAGGUCCCAGAACAGAUCCCUGAGGCACACCACUGAUCUCCGACCUCCAUGCAGAGUAUGACCCGUCUACAACCGAUGGAAACCCACUUCUAUGGGCAAGCCAGUUCUGGAUCCACAAAAUAUUCGUCUCUCUCCGAUCAAUUCCGACCGAGGGUAGAAGACCUUUGGGAACAAGACGAACGGGAGCCGGUGCCGAUAUCGUCUAAAGGUCCCCGAGUUGAAUUCGACCCUUCAAUCCAGGAUAAUCACGAAUUCCCUUCUCGACCUUUACCAGACCACCUGUUUGAGGAAACUUACAUCAUCAACCACAACAGAUCAAUCCCCGAAAGCAAAUUCUUCUGCCAACGUUGACCAGCAGGACAGCACUCGCCAGCGACCCUGUCUACCUGUGACUGCAAUUUCAUGGAAACGUGAAACUGGAUGCCGCGUCGCUUUGCACUGCUAUAAUUCCUAGAGUCGCUCCCGUUCACUGUGAAAGUCCUGCCGUGGUUUGUCGUCCUGAAGUAUGACUGCUGGCCCUUAACGAAUUCAGCUGAAUGUGGCUGCGACCGAAAAACCUCCUCAGUUGAUUAGGAUCCUCCUGUCAAUGAUAACUGUCCUCUCUGUUGCCAACGCCACCAACAUACUCUUUUCGGCAAGGUUAUUAACUGCACAGUGUACAUUCUUGUGCACGCAAUCAAACUGCUCGGAGGGGUGUUCGUGGGUUCCACAUCAUCCUCCUGUGUAGUCUUCAAUAUUGAUCUUGUUAAAAGCCUUGUUAAAUUCCAUGAACGUCACAUCUACUAUCCCUGCGUGAUCUCCCUUCCCCGGUCAAAUCAGACCGAUAAAUCUCCUUGGGACUCACGCCAUCUGAUACCUCCCUCCCCUUCGAUGUUCCACGUUCGCUAACCCCUCGUCUCUUUCCCUCUCUCACCACUCCAGUUCUCACACAACCUUCCACCUCCCAGGGCGUCCACCAUGGGGGUUAUUCCUAAUGAACAUAUCUAUGUAUAUUACAUAUACCAACACAGAAAAAUAGGUAGUUCAUGCACAAUCAAAUCAGUCGGCGAUCUCUCCCUAGGUCCCACAUCAUUACGCUCGAUAGAACUUGCCCUGUUUUACCGAAUUGGACUUUUAGAAGAAUCUAUCCCGAAAUAAAGACACAGACAUCGGUGUACGGUUAACCCUUGAAUAGGUGAUCACUUUGCCUUACGACUCUGCCAAUAUCACUUAAAUUUAUACAUUGCAUUUUCGGCGCAAGCCAACAGCCAAAUACAGUCAGUGAGCGAUUUCCAGAAGCACUUGAUCGGUAUCAGCCAAUCUAUGAAUUGUACCGGGAGGUGCACAAAAUUAUAACCGUCCGUCAGCCUUAAAAAACAAAUCAUUGGCCUCCACGGCCGCCUGUGGCAAGGAAAUCAACAGAUUCACCACUCUCUGGUUAAAGUAAUUUCUCCUCUUCUCCUUUCUAAAAGGACGCGCCGCUCUUCUCAGUCUUUGUCUUCUGGUCUUCGACUCCCCCACCAUAGAAACUAUCCUCUCCACACCAUCUCGAUCAAGGCAUUUAAAUACUCAAUAGAUUUCAAUAGGGUUACCCUCCGAAAUUGAAGUGAGUGCAGGCCUAGAGAUAUCAAGCACUUCUCAUAUGAGGCCCCUAAAUCUUGGAUUCAUUUUUGUGAACCUCGUUUGAGCUCUCUGCACUUUGAGCAACAUCUUUCUAAGAUAAGAGGGCCAAAACUGUUCACAAUACUCCACGUGAGGCAUCACCAGUACUUUAUAAAUUCUCAUCAUACACCUUUCCCUUUAUAUGCGAGCCGAAAUGCUGAAAUGCAUUUGUCCUCCUCACCAGAGACUCUACCUGAUAAGGUUAGAUCAUCGACACAACAUUGUGGGCUGAGGGGCGGGUAAUGUGCUGUAGAUUUCUGUGUUCAACCUGCAAAUUAACCUUUGGGGAAUCCCCCACAAGGAAUUUAAAGUCCCCUUGAAUCUCUGAUUUUUGUGUUUUCUCUCCAUUUAGAAAAUAGUCAACCCUUUCAUUUUCUCCUAAAGUGCAUAUUUCAACACCGCAGGACAUCUGCCAUUUCUUUGCUCGGUCUAAGCCCCUCUGUAGCCAGUAUACUCCUCAAAACUACCUGCCCCUCCACCUAUCCAUAUAUCGUCUGCAAACUGUGGACCCACGUUGAUGGAGCUGCAUACACGGACCGUAAGAUCCCUCUGCUCAUCGACACGGUCUUGUCUUUAAUAGUGUGCUAUAUCUUUCUAUUUGCCCGGGUUGAACUCAUCGGUCAUUUCUCCAACCAUAUAUACAAGUUAUUUCAGCAGAGCUGCAACUGUUUUCCUUUCUAGGAAAAAAUGAGGAAGGGGCAGGACAUGUGUAUUCCAAAAAUGAAGAAGUUCUCAGUACUCAAGAAGCAUUCAAUUUUGGCCGAAAAGGGAACUCAACACUCUUGUAAAAGCUAAAGAAGGGGCUUACAAGAAAAUAAAAAUUAGUGAGAAUUCAAUCAUCGGUUCGGCUCGCGUCUUCGUUCGGGUGUUGGUAGCCCCCGGGCCGAGAACCUUACGAAUUCUCCUUCAGGUGGACGCUGUACGGUGUUUAAAAACAGUACACAAUAUGAGAGUAACCGAUUGAGCUUUACAUUUGUAUUUUGACCAUAUGGUUAGUAAAGUAACAUAAUAAAGAAAGGGGCA